rnacentral:lncRNA from 1 species
UCUCACGUCAUCACGAGAAGAACGCACCCCUGCUCAGACUGAAUGGGAAUACUGAUAAACACGAAAACAUGCUCAACUUCUCUAAUAAUCAAAGAAAUACAUAUUAAAAUGAGAUGCCACUGUUUCUUCUAUCACUGGGACUGAAAUGGAAAGUAUUCAUCAUAUCCUUUGCUGGUGAGAAAGCCGGACGAAGAAAGAUCAGAGAGAGCGCCACCCCCAUUCCCCACAGCGUUCCAGCUCUGGCCCUGCUCUGUGGCUGCCCCUCAAGCCUGAAAAUCACCUCAUAUUC